GAACAAGGGCGUGUAUUUUUGGGGGGACAUAUCUUAGAAUAUCAGAAAUAAGAACAACAGAGGUUGAUUUUUUUCGAUUUUUACUCAUCGUUUUUUAUUUUUUAUUUUAUUUUUAUUUUUUUUUACGAAUCUGUUAAAUAAAAAGAAAACAAUAAAGGAGAGGGAGAGGAGAGACUUACCCAGAAUCGCCCUACUGAUACCCUUGCAGGAAGCCCUUUG
rnacentral:lncRNA from 1 species